AGGAGACAACAGGAUGAUGUCUGAGGCCGUUUAUGAGGAGAUUCAGCACAGACACAAUCACUUCACUCAGAGGGGGAGUCUCAUCUCUGAAGAACUGCAUUCUGGGUAUGAAAAUGCUGAUGAGCUUCUCUUAGAAGAGAUGAAGCAGAUAACACCAGGAUAUUAUGAUGAUGUCAUCACUGAUGGACUGAAACCAGAUUGUGAGACAGGUAUUACUGUUAUUCUGUAAUUAGAUUAAAUAUUUAAAAUAUAUAAAACAGGGGUGUCCAGUCCUGCUCCUGGAGGGCCAAGAGUUUAGCUUCAUCCAGCUCCAACACACUUGUCUGGAAGUUUCUAGCG